rnacentral:rRNA from 1 species
UACGUAGGGUGCAAGCGUUGUCCGGAAUUAUUGGGCGUAAAGAGCUCGUAGGCGGUCUGUCACGUCGGACGUGAAAAUCCAGGGCUCAACCCUGGACCUGCAUUCGAUACGGGCAGACUAGAGUUCGGUAGGGGAGACUGGAAUUCCUGGUGUAGCGGUGAAAUGCGCAGAUAUCAGGAGGAACACCGGUGGCGAAGGCGGGUCUCUGGGCCGAAACUGACGCUGAGGAGCGAAAGCGUGGGGAGCGAACAGG